rnacentral:tRNA from 1 species
AGCAGAGAAGGAGUUGAACCAACAUCAAAAAACUCAAAAUUUUACGCAUUUCUUUUAUGCUAUCUACUA